GACGAACGCUGGCGGCGCGCUUAACACAUGCAAGUCGAACGGAAAGGCCUGCUUUCCCUUGUGGAUUGCGGGUACUCGAGUGGCUAACGGGUGAGUAACACGUGAGUGAUCUGCCCCCAACUUGGGUAUAAGCCUGGGAAACUGGGUCUAAUUCCCGAUAGGACUGCAGGGUGGUGCCUGUGGUGGGAAACGAUUUUCUAGUGGUUGGGGAUGAGCUCGGGGCCUAUCAGCUUGUUGGUGGGGUAAUGGCCUACCAAGGCGGCGACGGGUAGCCGGCCUGGGAGGGGGGACGGCCGCAUUGGGACUGGGAUACGGCCCAGACUCCUAGGGGAGGCAGCAGUGGGGAAGAUUGCACAAGGGGCGGAAGCCUGAUACAGCGACGCCGCGUGGGGGAUGACGGCCUUCGGGUUGUAAACUCCUUUCGACCGCGAGGAAGCCACCUGGUUGGAAGGGUGGUGACGGUAGUGGUAGAAGAAGCACCGGCUAACUACGUG
rnacentral:rRNA from 1 species